AUUUUAUUGCGAUUUUUACAAGGGCCACAACUCUUUUUUUUAUUAAUUAUAAACAACGUGUGUCAACAUUACAUUUCUAGGGUACAUACACUUAGGCUAUGCUUUUAAGAAAUGAUAUCAUUUGAUAAGUUAAUUUUUGUCCUGAACGUUAAAAAAUAGAAAAAAAAAGUUAUAAAAUAUGAUGCAAAAUGUAAUAUAACAAUACUAUAAUGGUCCUUAAUUUCCUUAAUUCUUUCCAGUUGAAUCAUAUUUCUUAUACAAAAAUUGUUCAAAAUCUUGCCAGAGCCACCUGGAGUUAUCUCCCAUGUAACAGGAAAAUUAUGUCGGAGACGACAAUUUAUGGAUCAUACAUAUAUAUGCACCGUGGAUCAGUUAUCCAUGCACAGUUCCUGUGAUUAGACUCAUCUCAUUCAUUUUGAUGAAUAAUAUAAUUCAUGUCAUGUGAUUACAUACAAUGUGCUACGGAAGCUUCUUCGUGACAUUGUUUAGAGGAAACAAUAGAAUUAAGCUGCACGGACGAGAUGACAAACUCGUCACUAUGGCUAUUUGUCCGGUCAUCACGGUCUCUAAAUGAUUUAUCGGCCAACGCUUCCUAUUUGAAAUGGCUAGCAUGAGUAGCGUUUUUUUCUGAAUCAUUACAAUGUAUUUAUUUAUUUAUAUAUUUAUUGAUUUAUUUACUAUUUAUUGAUUUAUUUACAUUUGUAUAUUAUUUGUAGGAUUCUAAAACACUAUAUCGACAUACGCUGUCUAUGACAAGCGUUAGUUCUGUAUUUUUAUCUCUUCGUCAUCGCUUUUUAUUUAUUUAUUUAUUUAUUUGAUUUUGUUUUAUUUUUCCCAUUCCCACCGGGGGAAAACACGGAGGAGUGUAACACUUUCAUUACUAACCAAUUAGUCCUAAAAUGUAAGUAAAUAUUUUAAUUACUUUUGGCGCACGUGACCAAGGAUUCAAACGGAUUGUCGCGGCCAACACCAAGUAAGUAGUACGUGUUUACAUAACAGCUACUUCUGAGGGACUGCCAUUUUUCCUAGAAAGUGCACCGGUCGGUUAAAGCUAAGGAAUAGUUCGGAAAUAACUUGAAUAUUUAUUUGUGUAUCAAAGUAAACUUAAAAGUUUAGAAAUGAACGCUAAAGAAGUACUAGGACAGGUUAACGAAGAGGCUCAGGCUGUAGAGCAAAAAUAUAUGAAUAGAGUAAUAUUGGGGUUAUCGAAAACAUUAGCUACUGCAGUAGGUGACGCUCAAUAUUUCACGUCUCUGGACUUGACAUCUGGUUACUGGCAAUCAACCGUUCCGACUGUAGUGAGGAGGGAGUCUCAUUACAGUGUAUAGACUCGACCUAAACCAAUGGAGGUCGAUUAUUUAAGGUAUAGAAGAAGUCAGACAUGGGGACACGAUACAAGCGAGAAGACCAUCAGGUACGCGGUUGACCAACGUAAAACCGAUUUAACUUGUUGGUCAUUUGGAUUUAAAGGACAUAUAUAGAGAGAAUGCCAAAUUAAUACACGCAAAAAUACGAAAUUCCUUUCGGGAAGGAAACAAUAAAAGGAGUGAUGUAAGUGGUGAUAUAUUGACACAGGAGUAGAAGUCUCGUUAAUUCAUACAAGAGUUUAUCAAGGUUUAGAUCCCCUAUUAAACCUUUCAAAAUAGAAAGCAUCUUUGCGGGCAGCCAAUGGCAAUUUACUUCCGGUCAAAGGUUGUAUAGAUUUUAAGUUCCGUAUUUUUUUUGGAACCGACACACGAAUGUAUCGCCGUGGGUAAUAUCAACAGGAACAUCAUCCUCGGUAGAGAAUUAAACUGAAGGAUGAUAAGGACUUGGGAUAUGCAAAAGUGGACAAUGCUACUCAAAGUGGUGAAAUGGUGGCUGUAAAUUGUGCUAGUGUUGGGAACACGACGGAAGGAGUGGUGAAAUUGGCACCACUGUUUAACGCGAGAUUUCCACAGUUACAUACUUAACUGGGACCUAGACUGUAUCAUGCUUGGAGCUGAAGCUAUACACUGAAAGUAAAGCCAUGGGCUUGUUAAAGGACACGUGAACACUGACGGAACUUAAAAGUUGUGUAAUUUACCAACGUUGAUAACAGCGGUAUGUUAUCUCUGACCUAUAUGACAACGACGGAACAUUUCACAACGCUGGAACAAAACUUAUGCGUUCUAGGAAGUUUGACAACAGACAAAAUCAGCGGCAACAACGAACCUUACUACAAGACAAUGAACACUUACUACACUUGACCAUUCAUGGUGUUCCGUGAUGAACUUGUGGAACUUGUGUUCUUUAUUCAUAUAAACUCCAACCAAUAUCUAUGGAAGCUACCUCUUCAUGAAUGACUGUUGACAGUAUAUCCGUGUUUCGGUAUCAACGAUUUCCUGAAAUGACGGACAAUCUAUGGAUAUAAUUUUUUUCCGGGCGGAUAUCACUUUUGCGAUGUUUGGACCCAAUAAAUGAAUUUAUCAUAGUCACGUGACUCCGAUGUUCGUAAACAUUGUGGUGACACGUACGGGUGUCCGAUUACAGUACCUCGGGAUUCUGACGUAACAAGCGCAGGAGAGAUGCUGACGCAGAAGACGGGAACGGAAGGGCAGUUCGCGGUUAACGCUUGUGUUUUUCAAACUGUACUUUGGAAAAUAAACUAUUGGACCGUU